rnacentral:tRNA from 1 species
GGAUGGCUAUAAGUUUGUACGUAAUCCUAGAAAUCGGGCUUUUUGAACCCUCCGUUUUCCUGUUUUCCUUAUAUAAAUCAAUUACUUAACGUUUGUCCGCGCAACACUGGCAGUGUUGAGGUCAGCGGUUCGAUCCCGCUAGGCUCCACCA